CUGCCCUUCUUGGUCAUUUAGAGGAAGUAAAAGUCGUAACAAGGUCUCCUUGGUGAACCAGCGGAGGGAUCAUUGCCGAGCCAACGCUCCCAAACCAUGCGAACCUACCAGCAACGUGCCUCGGCGGGCGGCUCCAGGCGGAGCCACCGGGACCCGCCGGCGGUACCCGGCCGAAACCAGCAGCGCGCCUGAGCCUGGAGUCCCCCCUUGCGGCAAGCAAGAAACCAGUCAAAACUUUCAACAAUGAUCUCUUGGCUCUGGCAUCGAUGAAGAACGCAGCGAAAUGCGAUACGUAUGCGAAUUGCAGAACUCAGCGAGCCAUCGAAUCUUUGAACGCAUAUUGGCCCGCCAGCACUCUGGCGGGCAUGCCUGUCCGAGCGUCAUCUCCACCCUCAAGCCCCGCUUGUGCUGGGGCGCUGCGAGCCCGCAGGCCCCGAAAGGAGCGGCGGGGCCGCCGCCGCGCCGAGCGUAGUAGACCGCUCGCUCCGGGUGCCGGCGCCCCUGCCACCGUCCACACACAACAAGGUUGACCUCGGAUCGGUAGGAAUACCCGCUGAACUUAAGCAUAUCAAUAAGCGGAGG
rnacentral:rRNA from 1 species